rnacentral:rRNA from 1 species
AACGAACGCUGGCGGCAUGCCUAACACAUGCAAGUCGAACGAAGGCUUCGGCCUUAGUGGCGCACGGGUGCGUAACGCGUGGGAAUCUGCCCUUUGCUUCGGAAUAACAGUUAGAAAUGACUGCUAAUACCGGAUGAUGUCGCAAGACCAAAGAUUUAUCGGCAAAGGAUGAGCCCGCGUAGGAUUAGCUAGUUGGUGGGGUAAAGGCCUACCAAGGCGACGAUCCUUAGCUGGUCUGAGAGGAUGAUCAGCCACACUGGGACUGAGACACGGCCCAGACUCCUACGGGAGGCAGCAGUGUGGAAUAUUGGACAAUGGGCGAAAGCCUGAUCCAGCAAUGCCGCGUGAGUGAUGAAGGCCUUAGGGUUGUAAAGCUCUUUUACCCGGGAUGAUAAUGACAGUACCGGGAGAAUAAGCUCCGGCUAACUCCGUG